UACGUAGGGGGCGAGCGUUGUCCGGAUUUAUUGGGCGUAAAGCGCGGGCAGGCGGCCCGGUAAGUCGGCCGUGAAAGCGCCGGGCUCAACUCGGCGAGGACGGGCGAGACUGCAGGGCUGGAGAGAGGCAGAGGGCGGUGGAAUUCCGGGUGUAGUGGUGGAAUGCGUAGAGCUCCGGAGGAACACCAGUGGCGAAGGCGGCCGCCUGGGCCUUUUCUGACGCUGAGCCGCGAAAGCGUGGGGAGCGAGCCGG
rnacentral:rRNA from 1 species